UAGGGAAUCUUCCACAAUGGACGCAAGUCCGAUGGAGCAACGCCGCGUGAGUGAAGAAGGUCUUCGGAUCGUAAAGCUCUGUUGUUGGUGAAGAAGGAUAGAGGCAGUAACUGGUCUUUAUUUGACGGUAAUCAACCAGAAAGUCACGGCUAACUACGUGCCAGCAGCCGCGGUAAUACGUAGGUGGCAAGCGUUGUCCGGAUUUAUUGGGCGUAAAGCGAGCGCAGGCGGAAUGAUAAGUCUGAUGUGAAAGCCCACGGCUCAACCGUGGAACUGCAUCGGAAACUGUCAUUCUUGAGUGCAGAAGAGGAGAGUGGAACUCCAUGUGUAGCGGUGGAAUGCGUAGAUAUAUGGAAGAACACCAGUGGCGAAGGCGGCUCUCUGGUCUGCAACUGACGCUGAGGCUCGAAAGCAUGGGUAGCGAACAGGAUUAGAUACCCUGGUAGUCCAUGCCGU
rnacentral:rRNA from 1 species